rnacentral:lncRNA from 1 species
UUUUUUUUUUCCUUUUUCAAUUUUUUUUUCUCCUCAACAGGCUGUCCCACUUCAGGGUGCGCCUUGCCAGGGCCUAGACGGAAGCGUGCAGGUCGGGGAGGUGGGACCAGGGAGAAAAAUCCGGACUGGGGCCUGUCACGCUCUAAUUCGCUCGGCUUUUCUCUCACUCCCCGGGCCGCAAAGACAGUCGAGGCGGGGCCCCGGGGACAGCCAUCCUGCUGUCACACUCUCCGGGAGUGGCAAACGGCUGCCGCUGGCUGGGCUGCAGCGGGCCCGGGCGAAGCGGGGAAGGCCCAGCCAGGCCGCGGCCG